rnacentral:ncRNA from 2 species
UCAACCGUGGUUCGCAAACCUCCCACGCAAAAAAAACUAAGGAACA